UCUGACCCGAAGGUUAGGGCAGCAGCGGGGACAGACACAGCGUGAAGAGAGAGGCCGGGCCUGUGUCUAGUUCUGUCCCCUGCCCCACAGCCACAGGCCACGUGGAGUGGGCACUUUCAUCUGCAGCAGCUGCAGUGGCCUUCACAGCCCUCAGGUAACCCAGGAAGCCGUUACCACGGUAACCCUCAGAGGCUUUAUCUGUAGCCACACCAGGGGGAAACUACAGAUGAAUCACCAACUGGGAGCAGCACUGAAGUGGUAGAUGGAGCCAGCACCCUCAACUCCCAAGGAAUGGAGCCACCAGCAUCCUAGCUGCUGUAGGCCUCGCUGGCCUCUCAGGGACACCGAGUGUCCUGACAGAGGGUGACGGAGGCUAUGACGUCGGUCCUCACCAUCACCCGGGCCUGGUCCUAAGGACACGGAGCCAGAAGAUGGCACCCGGGGACCCCAGGGGGACGGCGCUGACCACAGCCUUCAGAAGAUUCCUUAUGAAAUUCAAGAUGUAUGUCGGCCUGCAUGAAAAAUCCUGUGGGGAUUUCAAUGAAUUUACAGACUAAUUUGAGGACAACGGACAUCUCUACACGUGCAAGUCUUCUAAUCCAUGACUAUGAUGUAGCCAUCUGCUGAAUCAGUGCCUGCUCUGUUUAUUUCUCUUUGUAAAGUCUUGUGUCAUUUUGUUCCACAUGAUUCUAAGCAAUAUAGGCUUUGUUGUUAUCUUGAGUGAGAUCUUCAAUAUACUAUUUCAAUUGGGGAUUACCAAAAUAAUAGAAAUCAUUGCUUCUUAUAUAUUAUGUUGCUGUGUUCAGGAGUUUUUGCUUGGAUGUUCUCAGUAGCUGGUGAAAACAUCUACAAAUUAAAGCACUUACUCUUACCUUACAGAUCGGAGUAA